ACCCUGAUCCCAAGCACCAUGGAGCCGACGAUUUGGAUCAAGACCUACAUCCCAAGCACCAAGGUGCCUGGUUGAUAUGGAUCGCGAUCCCGAUCCGGAGCUCCAGGGCGCCGAGGAUUUCGAUCACGAUCCCGAUCUGAAGCACCGAGUAGCCGAGGAUAUGGAUCAAGACCCCGGUCCGAAGCGACAAGGAGGCAAGGAUUUGGAUCACCACUCCGAUCAAAGGCACCAAGGCGUCGAGGGAUUGGAUCGAGAUCCCGAUCCCAAUCAUGAUGUUGGCUAUGUAAUUUCCCGUUUUCCACACCGUUCAGGGCAUUUUGGUGGUCGUAUCGGCUUUUAGUUGCUUGCUUGGUGAUAGUGCCAAGGGAGUGGUUGGAAGCUAGGUCGUCCUCUGGAAUGCUUGUUGUAAAGGUGUAUGAGUUGUGUUUGGCUUGUUACGGGUGUUUGUUGGCUGCUUGUGCAGGAACUUUCAUGCGUCCAAGCCUCUUCAGUUGUGCUACAAGGCCUUGUUUGUUUUGUGCAUACGGUGGGUUUCCUGUGUUGCAUACCUAAUCAAGGGCAUCGUAUGGCUUGAUAGAAGUAAAUAUUCGUAAUGCGCCGCUUGCGGCGUUGCACGAACCUCGAAGUGGUCUCUGUGGCCCAUGUUGUCUUUGCUCAUGCAUGGAUGGCAUGGCCCUCGGAGCGUCGCUUGGUCUCUUGGAUACGGAACCUGAUGAUGUGGGCGGUAGGGUCUUGGAUGAUUCUACCUUCGC
rnacentral:misc_RNA from 1 species